UGAGGAACAUGACCUUCGGCGGGGGAGUAGCCGGCCAACGGCCGGGUAAUACCGCGUACGACCACAUGGGGACAUCCCUGAGUGGUGAAAGCAGCAAUGCGCCGAUGGAGUGCCUCGGCGGCCUAUCAGCUAGGUUGGUGAGGUCAUGGCUCACCAAGGCGACGACGGGUAGCUGGUCUGAGAGGACCGACCAGCCACACUGGAACUGAGAUACCGGUCCAGAUCCCGUAACGGGG
rnacentral:rRNA from 1 species